AUAUGUCAACCAAAUCCUGGACUCUUUCUCUCUCUCUCUCUCACUCACACUCACUCUCUCUCUCUCUCUCUUUCCUCCAUCAUUGUCAAAGCUCAAUAAUUGAAACCGAUCGAGCCAAGAAUUUGAUGAUCGGGAAGACAUCACAAGUCCCUCGCUGCUGCUUGAAUCAAAGAUUUGAACCUCAUUUCUUUAGUCAAUAGCUGGGAAGAAUUAGUAGGAAGGAAGAGGACCGUAGGACGAACAAGGCUGCUUUGAUGGAAUGGGAGUACAAGAUUCCAUCAUGGGAUUUGGCAGAACUAGAGCAAAAUGCUGAGUCCAACCCUGGUGGAAUUGUCGAGCCACUUUGCAGUCAUGGAGGUCAGGCCAAUGGCGUAAACUGUUCCGUCGAUCUGAAGCUCGGAGGAUCAGACAACCCUGAAUCACCGGAGAAGUGGAAAGACCAACGCAAAAUGAUGAUGGUGUCUGUCUCGUCAUCCAGUCCGCUGAAGAGGGCCCGCGCGCCGAGCACCGCUGGGCAGAAUGUGUCGUGCUCGGUCGACGGCUGCAAAUUCGACCUCAGCCAUUGCAGAGAGUACCACAGGCGCCACAAGGUCUGCGAGGCCCACUCGAAGACCCCGAUCGUCAUGGUGGGUGGCGUCGAGCAGCGGUUUUGUCAGCAGUGCAGCAGGUUUCACUUGCUGGCGGAGUUUGAUGAGGUAAAGAGAAGCUGCAGGAAACGUCUCGAUGGACACAACAGAAGAAGAAGAAAGCCUCAACCGGACUCAAUCAGUUCGACCAGCCUCUUCCCAGUUCCACAAGGCGGCAGGUUCUCGACGUACGCUCCCAUGUCCCAAACUCAUUCAUCAAACCCCAACUGGUCUGCAGCUCUUAAAACUGAAGAAAAUGCAGUGCAUUUUAACAACAGUCAGCAACAUAUUGCCGGAUCCUUUUCUCCUAACUACGCUCCGGGAAAGCAGUUUGCUUUCCUACAAGAAGGCAAAGUUUGCCUUGACAGGACAGCAACAGAACCAUCUAUGCGUCAGCCAUUUCUCAAGAUUUUUUGUUCAGCAGAAAGCAGCAGCAGCAGCAGCAACAUCAAGAUGUUCUCCGGAGGGUUAACGCAAGCUCUCGACUCCGAUUGUGCUCUCUCUCUUCUGUCAUCGCCAACUCAAACUUCAAGCAUACAUGUUGGGCACAUGCUACCUGCCAACAGGGUUCCUAUGUGCCAGCCUCUCGUUUCGAGUUUCACAUAUAGCGGCAAUGAUCGAUUCGCUGGUUCUCAGGCAUUGAGAGGUGUUCCUCCGACGGCAUCCUCUUGCUCGGGAGUCAAAGAUGAGCAAACUGGUGGAGUGGCAGUUUCUGAUGCUGAUGGUCUUCCGUUCCAGGGCAUGUUUCACAUAGGAGGAGAGGAAUCACCUGAUGGCGUCUUGGAAUCACUUCCCUUUUCUUGGCAGUAAUGAAUUUUUAAUGACAACUGUUUAAAGGGUUCGUCCAUGUUUGUCUCAGCUUUCUGGCAAGUGAUGAUGCUUCUUUCGCUGGAUCUUUGGCUUGUCAAACCCUGCUUCAAACGAUGAUGUGAAGAAUCUCGUGUAACUGAAGAACAAGAAUAUGGCCUGCCAAAAAGAAAGAAAGAACCUUCCCUUUUUCGAACAAGCACAAGAAAAAAACCCGAAGAUGGUCAAAUUCUUAAAUAAUCAGAGUUUAUUCGCAUGGCCUUCCCUUUUAAAAUGCAUUCUUGUUUUAUUUUGUUUUUUUGAAACUCGAUCAGUUAAUUGCUAAAAUAUUGAUACUGCAUGUCGUGACUGGCUCCGAAA